rnacentral:rRNA from 1 species
UGGGGAAUUUUGGACAAUGGGGGAAACCCUGAUCCAGCCAUCCCGCGUGUGCGAUGAAGGCCUUCGGGUUGUAAAGCACUUUUGGCAGGAAAGAAACGUCAUGGAUUAAUACCCCGUGAAACUGACGGUACCUGCAGAAUAAGCACCGGCUAACUACGUGCCAGCAGCCGCGGUAAUACGUAGGGUGCAAGCGUUAAUCGGAAUUACUGGGCGUAAAGCGUGCGCAGGCGGUUCGGAAAGAAAGAUGUGAAAUCCCAGAGCUCAACUUUGGAACUGCAUUUUUAACUACCGGGCUAGAGUGUGUCAGAGGGAGGUGGAAUUCCGCGUGUAGCAGUGAAAUGCGUAGAUAUGCGGAGGAACACCGAUGGCGAAGGCAGCCUCCUGGGAUAACACUGACGCUCAUGCACGAAAGCGUGGGGAGCAAACAGG